AUUCCGAUGAAUUCGACUGAUACGCAACUUCAGAUCACAUAUGCAUAAGUUGGAAGUUGCAAGUCGUUGUUAUUAUUUUUGACAAGACGGAAUGGUUGAGAAAUAAGUGUCCAAUUCAUAUUCUACAACAAAAGUUAAAAUUAAUUUACAAAACUAUAGAGGAAUACAAAAAAAAAAAGAUUUAAAAAAUGAACCAUUUCAUUAAAAAUAACGUGGCUAAUUGAAAACCAAUAUGACAACAAAUAUUUGAAGUUGGGAUACAUUAAGAAGUUCACAAAAACCACAUGGAUAUGGAUUUGAUGAUAAAGACUACACGUAUUAGGAAAAGAUACAUAAUAUGUUACUAAAAUUUUAAAUUUAGUAAAUUAAACAAAAAGGGAUGAAAUACAAUUUUUCUCUAAAAAGAAGCUUUAUAUGAACAAAGAUGUGUUUCUCAAAAUUACCAUCCUCCAAAAACAGCUUCCAAAUAAACAUCUAUAUGCAGACUAUAUAAGAUUCUAUCCUCGAUGGCUUGUGGUGUCACGUAUAUAUUUCAAAGAUAAGGGCAAAAGUAAAAAAGGAUCUUGAAGGACACAGAAUUCUUCAUAUUCAGACUUUUUAGAACUCGGUCUAUUUUUACGGUUAUUUCUCACAUUUUCUUAAUGGAAAUUUAACUUGGAAAGUAUAGGGAUCUCCGAGGGCUAUUUAGUUUGAAAGAAUCUCCUUGAAGCUGAAAGUUCCUUAUUAAGUUUAAAUUCAUAUUUAUAACAUUACCUGAAGAACUGAAGGGAUGUGAACGAUGGAAAAGCACGCCCUGCAUUCUGUUUUAAAAGUGUGGUACCAAUGCAGUCUCUGACAAGUGAUUCCACAAUCGAUUCUAUCCUCGAUGGCUUGUGGUGUCACGUACUUCAAAAAUAUGGGCAAAAGUAAAAAAGAGAAUCUUGAAGGACACAGAAUUCUUCAUAUUCAGACUUUUUAGAACUCGGUCUAUUUUUACGGUUAUUAUUCACAUUUUCUGAAUGAAAAUUUAACUUGAAAGUAGGGAUCUCCGAGGGCUAUUUAGUUAGAAAGAAUCUCCUUGAAGUUGAAAAUUCGUUAUCAAGUUUGAUAUUACCUAGUUGGAAUAUAUCCGUGUGAAUAGGGAACAGAUCUAUGAUCAGGAGGUGAAAGAGAACGAUGACCUGUGGGACUUUGCGACCUUCCCCGAUAAUGACUACUCGGAGAAUCCAUCG